UAUUUAGAGUUCAGUGAAGGGUAGAAUUUUGAUGUAUCGAAAAAAAUAACAUUCAACAAUUUAUUUAUUUAUUUAUUUUUUAUUUUUUUGCAUAGUUAAAGUUCAGUGAAGGGUAGAAUUUUGAUGUUUUAUUCAGCAAAGAUACAAAAAAAAGUAAAUGAUUGAUGAGAAAAAGAAAUAAUAGAUAAAAUAAAAAUGAUCUACUUUUUUCUGAGCUCAGAUUAUAAGUAAGUGCAGAAUUUUGAUGUUUUAUUCAGCAAAGAUAAAAAAAAAAACGAUAAAAAAAAAAAGAUAAUCCACCAAAAAUAAAUAUCUAAUCGACUUUUUCCCGAGUUCAGAAAUUCAGUCGAGUCUAGAAUUAUGUUGCAAGGACGAAAAAAGAAAAAAAAUCGUAACUUCAUCGCAAUAGAAAAUUAUCAAAAUAUUUCAAUUCAUUAUAAUUCGGAUAACAACUUGAUUUAUUCAUUAUAUAUUUCCGACGCACUGGACUGAGAGAGAGAGAGAGAGAGAGAGAGCGAGAGAGCGAGCGAGAGCGAGAGAGAGAGAGCGAACCGAGGAAAAUGAGUGGCUUUCAAUGUCAGUAGAUGUGAAGUGAAACGAAAAAGAUCGCAAAAGUUGAAUGUGUGUUUGUGUAUCCAUGCAUGUAUGUGUGUGAGUAUGUAUGUUUGCUUAUCCGUGCAUGUGUAUGUGUGUGCGCGUGUGUGUGUGUGUGUACGUCAGGGUUGCCACAGCCACUAUGCGUUCACGGCCCUUACUCUUGUGUAGCAUAUUUGCGUUUCGAGUCAGGGAUUUUUCAUCUAUGCUUACUCUUAAGUUGUACAAUAUGUGGCGGUGGUGUGGCGGGGCGGCGGCGGCGGCGGUGGUGGUGGUAGAGGUGGCGAUAGUGUUCAUGGCUAUAUGGGUGAUGAGGAACUGGUGUUGGUUUCGGUUAUAUGGGUGAGAAUGGUGAGGGUGGUGUUGGCGAGAGAAUGUUGGUGUUGGUAAUAUGGGUGGAGUAGACGAUGGUGGUGAUGGUAUUGAGAGAAUGGUGUUGCUGGUGUUGGUUAGGUGGGUGAGGAGAGUGUGUCUGGUCAUGCCGGUGAUGGUGGUGGUGGUGUUGAGAGAAUGGUGUUGCUAGUAUUGGUUAGGUGGGUGAGGAGAGAGGGUUUGGUGAUGCCGGUGAUGGUGGAGGUCUAGAGAGAGUGGAGUUACGUGUGUUGGUCAGAUAGGUGGUGAUGGUGGUGGUGGUGAUGGUUGAGAAAGUGGAGUUCCUUGUGUCGGUCAUAUAGAUGGUGAUGAUGGUGUUGGUGGUGAUGGUCAGAGAGAGUGGAGUUACCUGUGUUCGUCAUAUAGAUGGUGAUGAUGGUCAGAGAGAGUGGAGUUACCUGUGUUGGUCAGAUAGGUGGUGAUGGUGAGCUUGGUCUUGAGUCGGCGUUGAGAGAGAGGUGUCGUAAGUGUUCCGCCAAGCCCCGCCACCCAGCAGCAGUUGUCGGUAGUGUUGCAGCCUCACAGCCACACACAACACAACACCUGAAUGUCGGUAGCGAUAGCAGAGCAGUGUUCAAACCGUGUACAAAUUGUUAUGCAACUUGUAGAAAUAUCCAUGGUAUUUAGAAUAAAACUCAUUGUGUCAAAUAUACUUGAAAAGUACUA